AUGGUAUCAGAGACCCAUGUCCUCAUAUUUUUGCUGCUAUGGGUGUCUGGUGCUUGUGGGGAAAUUGUGUUGACCCAGUCUAUACCAUCCCUGACUGUGUCAGCAGGAGAGAGGGUCACUAUCAGCUGCAAAUCCAAUCAGAAUCUUUUAUGGAGUGGAAACCAAAGGUACUGUUUGGUCUGGCACCAGUGGAAACCAGGGCAAACUCCUACACCGUUGAUCACCUGGACAUCUGAUAGGUACUCUGGAGUCCCUGAUCGUUUCAUAGGCAGUGGAUCUGUGACAGAUUUCACUCUGACCAUCAGCAGUGUGCAGGCUGAAGAUGUGGCAGUUUAUUUCUGUCAGCAGCAUUUACACAUUCCUCC